rnacentral:rRNA from 1 species
CUACGGGUCGCUCCAGUGGGGAAUAUUGCACAAUGGAGGAAACUCUGAUGCAGCAACGCCGCGUGGAGGAUGACACUUUUCGGAGCGUAAACUCCUUUUAUAUAGGAAGAAGAUGACGGUACUAUAUGAAUAAGCGCCGGCUAACUCCGUGCCAGCAGCCGCGGUAAUACGGAGGGCGCAAGCGUUACUCGGAAUCACUGGGCGUAAAGAGCGUGUAGGCGGAUUAAAAAGUCAGAAGUGAAAUCCUAUAGCUUAACUAUAGAACUGCUUCUGAAACUCUUAAUCUAGAAUAUGGGAGAGGUAGAUGGAAUUUCUGGUGUAGGGGUAAAAUCCGUAGGGAUCAGAAGGAAUACCGUUUGCGAAGGCGAUCUACUAGAACAUUAUUGACGCUGGGACGCGAAAGCGUGGGGAGCAAACAGGAUUAGAUACCCGCGUAGUC